GACGAACGCUGGCGGCGUGCUUAACACAUGCAAGUCGAACGGAAAGGCCCCUUUGGGGGUACUCGAGUGGCGAACGGGUGAGUAACACGUGAGUAACCUGCCCUUGACUUCGGGAUAACUUCAGGAAACUGGGGCUAAUACCGGAUAGGAAUCCUUGCUGCAUGGUGGGGGUUGGAAAGCUUCGGCGGUUUUGGAUGGACUCGCGGCUUAUCAGCUUGUUGGUGGGGUAGUGGCUUACCAAGGCUUUGACGGGUAGCCGGCCUGAGAGGGCGACCGGCCACAUUGGGACUGAGGUACGGCCCAGACUCCUACGGGAGGCAGCAGUGGGGAAUAUUGCACAAUGGGCGGCAGCCUGAUGCAGCAACGCCGCGUGCGGGAUGACGGCCUUCGGGUUGUAAACCGCUUUCAGCAGGGGCGAAGCUUGUGGUGACGGUACCUGCAGAAGAAGCACCGGCUAACUACGUG
rnacentral:rRNA from 1 species